ensembl:lncRNA
CUGCCAUUUCCUUGUUUCCUGGUUGUGCAUUUAUAGCGUGUGCUUUGCUUUACUCCUUGUCAGGUCGUUUGCGUUACUUUGACUUUUCUCCUGUGUGUCAUUCCCUCCGUGUCUCAGGUUUUCUAGUUUCAGUUUUCUCUCUUGUCCUCCAGGACUGCUUUCGUCCUCCAGGUUGCUCCACCUUCCUGUCAAAAAUCAGCUGAUUGCUCCUCUGUCCUCAGUCAGUCAUCACCAGCUUGUCGUAUCAGCCAGUUAGACUACCUGGAGUACCUGGACCUCCUCUCCUGGAAUCAAUCACAUCAGUGUGACUGCUUCUUCACAGAAUCACACUGUGAAAAGAGCUGUUCUUAGUUCUACUUUCUGAUCCUUUAUACAUGACCAACACGGCGUGACCAGAAAAAAAACGGCGGAUGACUGAAGCGGGCGGCCAAAGAGUAAACUUUCAAAACUUAUCACACAUUUGAGUUCCAUGUGUGACAACUGCAAGUGUCCAGAGUGAGGACAGACUGAGGGACCCACUGCUGCACAUCAUCUGUGAGGCUUUGCACCCCUGAUGAUCCACCAGGACAAACUCAGCAGUGUGUGAGGAAGAGGAGGAGGAAGAGCCAGCAGCAGCUGACAGAUGGAGAGAAUAGACAGACUGUUCCCUGUUUGUGAAGGACUGCUAGAAAAGUUUAACAUCACUAAUUGUCUGUCCUGAAUCAGUCUUAUUAGGAAAUGUUCAAAUAAUUUUAUCAUUCCAGUGUUUUCAGUACUCAGGCCCUUCAAGUUACACACUAUGAAAGGCAGCAACAAGUUUAAUAUUCAGAAACCUAAAGUAUGUAUCAGCAGCAGAACGGAGCUAAAAAUAAAUGUUUGUUUCAGUUCUAUGAAGCUUUGAGUAUUUUGGAUUAGUAGCACUGCUGUGUUUGUUGUAUCGUAUUGCUGUAAUUGUUUAUAUGCUUUAUGUAUUUUGAGGUAAGUUGAUCUAUAGUGUUACAUCAUAUUCCAUAAGGAUGUUAUGUGUUUGUAUACUUUCUGCCCAGUUUGACCCAUUUAGCAGAAGUCAGCCUGUUUAAGGCUCUGAUAUCUAUUCUGUAUGACUUAAAUCGUUGAAAACGAUGUUCCGGGAGUCCGCUGUUCUCGCCGGCUCUAAUAAUCCUCGACCUCGCUGUCUGCUAUGGAGCUGGCAGGUCACAGACGUCUCCGAAAAUGUCGGAGCGCGUUUGGAAAUAUAUGAUAUCUUGAUAAAUUGAGCAGAUAUUUGAAGUUUACACAGCUACAUUCUAGCUUGAAAAUAACUUAAAAGUUUAUUUUGUGACCCAGAAAGAGUAAUAUUUAAAAGUUUUUAGCCCCGCUCGUCCGCCAUUGCCGCGUUUGAGUUUUGGACGAAAUGCAUUCUGGGAUAUUUAGCUGUAUCAAGUCCACACAAGUCACCACUGAUGCAUGCUCGAUAAAACGGGCGGAGCGAGAACACAUCCGGGACUUUUUCGCGUUCUCGGCUUGAUGCAUACUUCGAAUUGGAACAGUACUUGGUCUCCGACUGAUGACGUAUCACGAGUACAUGAGAACGCAAGUACGCAUAUUGAGAAAGGCCCUUCCCAUUUAACAAGCCUCUCACUUCCGCACUUCUUGUACUUCCUAAUACGCGCCGUACGUAGUACGCCAACUGCGCGUACUCCGAAGCGUGCGGUUGCUGGAUUGGGACACAGCCUCAUGUCGUGUCCAAAUUCAUGGGCUGCAUCCUCUUGAGGACCCGGCCUUCGCGGUCUACGUGGGCCUAUUCUGACAAACCAUCCUACUUUGGCAAAACGUCCUACCGUAUGUUUAUGCACAUUUCUGCUGUCACAGAGUAAUUCCAGCACCAAUUUAAGUAGGUAUGACGGUUUGCCACUUAACUUUGCCCAUCAGAGUAUACUUGUAGCUCGUAUGCAUACAGCCAGGAUGGUUUGGCACUUAAUUUUACCCGUCAGAGUAUGUGUGUAGCUGUUAUUAACAAAGGUAGGAUGAUUUGCCACUGAAUUUUAGCUGUUAAAGUAUGCUUCUAGCUCAGAUUAACAAAAGUAGGACGAUUUGCCACUAAAUUUUAGCAGUUUAAGUAUGCUUGUAGGUGACAUUCACAAAGGUAGGAUGGUUUGGCAGUUAAUUUUACCAGUCAGAGUAUUUUUCUAGCUAAUAUUCACAAAGGUAGGACGGUUUGCCACUGAAUUUCGUGUUGUGCGCAGAAACAACGGGUAGGAUGGUUUGCUGGGUAGGAUGAUUUGCCAGGUAGGAUGGAUUCCCAGAACACCCCGGGUCCUCAGAAGGUCGGGUAAGCUUGAAGUAAACAGCUGUGAUAUUGGACGGUCUAGCCUUGCGAUUUCGUCACUGCUGUCUUGGUGGAGUUUAAUAAACUCUGUCGUCUGCUCCUUGCUAUCUAAAUUAUAACAGGACACUGGUGUAAAUUCUUGACCAUCUCACACUUCUGUUUAAUCAGUUUUCUGUUUGAUGAUUAUUCAGCUGUGUGAAAACCAUCCAGGAGAUUAAUAAUGUUUUAUUUGAUCUAAUCUAAUAUCUUUAAUCUCAGCCAAACCAAUUUACUCACAAACCAAUAAAACACUGAAAAAGCCAAACAAUAACAUUUCUAGGUUGUCUAAGUGACUAAUAUAUUACGUUUAACCUGAGUAGCGAAAGUCCGUGGUGAUCUGAAAAUGAUGCGCCGGGAGUUGUGCUGUUCUCGGCGGCUUCAGUGACCCUUGAGCUCCCAGCUAGCUAUCGAGCUGGUGGAUAACAGACGUCGGAGCACUUUUGCAAAUAUGUGAUAUCUUGAUAAACCGAGCAGAUAUUUGAAGUUAACACACCCACAUUCUCGCCUGAAAAUACGUUAAAAGUUUAUUUUGUGACCCAGAAAGAUUAAUAAGAGUAAUAUUAAAAACUUAGUAGCGGCUGCCAUUGUUGAAAACUGGAAUUGGCUGGGCCGCGCUUUGAAUUCUGGGAUAUGGUGGGCCACGAAGGACACACUCGACCCAUCCUUCAAAUUUGGGGAAAAGGAGGACGCAUUUGUCGGCUGCAUUUGGAGGAGUCUACGAAUUUGGACAGCCUUCGUUGCGUCGCUGUGACGUAAUCGGCCUACAAAUGCGGCCUCAGGAGGAUGCAGCCCAUGAAUUUGGACACGACCUCAUACUUCAACAUGGGUGUGCAUCUCACACAGUUGCACCAGUGGAACCAACAUGCAGUACAGUAGUUCCUACAUGAGAAUUUCCACAAUAAAUGACAUAAUGACAUAUAAAAUGUGCGUAGUGCAAAACAAAUGCAUUAACUAAAAGUAUGGCAGUAAAACUAUGUUUACGCAGGCAGCAGAGAUCGAUGAUGACACACGGGUGUAAAGGGUUGAAUUUGAAUGGUUUAUAUGAAUUCUAAGAGUGUAAUAUGAAAGCAGCUUUCUCACCUGUUUACUGUUAAACUGAAGGUAACACUGUUAUGUGCACACACCUGAACUGAGGUGUGCAAAUGUGAAAAGAUCCGGCUACAUCUGCAAGAAUAGUCCAAUAGUAUAUAACUUGUACUAGAAUAAGGAAGUAACAAGUCAGGUUUGUACAGGAAACAAUGAAAUUAUUAUACUGUAAGUUGUUUUAAGUACUGGCAUUUUCAUGGUGAUUUCAGGAAAAACAUCUAGUAUUUCCCUGUCUUACCGUAGCCUAUAAUUCCCGGGAUGUGUUAUGGAGUCACUUCAUCUGAGUAAACUCGUAGAACAGUACUUUGUUCUGCUUCUUCAGCGACAUCCACCUGUACAGACUACAACCACAGAUUAGUUUUCAGCACUCUGUAAUUCACUUUUCUUUCCUUUAGAGUUGAAAUCAAGGUGAGUUAUUUUGUCCUGUGACAGCUGGUGUUAAAUCCACCCUCAUGACUAUGAACUAAGCAGUCUUAGAUAAUCACCAUCAUCUUUAUCAUCUGCAGACCCAAAAUAUUCAGACUGCACAAAGAUGAAAUCAUCUGUUUUAUGUUUGGCUUUUACAAACCAGCCAUCACUACUGCACUUACUGGCCACUUCAUUACAUACAACUUGCUAGUAGUAGACUGGACCCUUUUUUUUUUCUUCUUUUUAAAAAAAAAUUCUUUGUAGAUUCAAGAAGGAAACACUCCUCAAAGAUUUGUCAUCGUAUUCACAUCACAACAUCUUCCCCGUUCUUACCGUCGGUUUGAUUCUCAGUGGGCUGUUUGUUCUGUCUACAUGCAUGAACAAACUGAGUUACUGCCGCAUGAUUGACUGAUUAGUUUUAUAUCAGUAUAGUUUCUCUUUCCUGAAAACCUCUCGCAUGUUUUUCUUCAGACUGAUAUUUAAAUUACUUUCUGUCAACACUUCCAGUAAAAUGUAAAACUUUUGAGCCUUUGUUUCCUUAAUCCCUGAUCUUUAAGUAUCUGUGGUUACGAGACAGUGAGAUGGCGCCAUAACUUCAUGAACAUACUUUUUUAAUGUACUGCCCAUGAUGUACCUCAGUGGUUAUAGUGGUCAGUAACAGGAUUGUGUUGUUCACACUGUCACACUUAUUAUCACACAUAAUAUCAUUAAAAUAUUACAUAUUUUAUAGUAUUUUUAAUGAUUUUCUUUUUGUGCAUCAAAUAGAGCAAGAGAAUAUUAACUCAUUUAAAUGUGUGAGUGACACUGGUGUGUGAUUGUGAUCUAGUAAAUAUAUAAAACAGAUCCAGCUUGUGUGCUACAUUUGUAAAUAAUAUUUGUGGUGUGCUGUUUUUUUUUAACUUAGUAAUACCUUAAAAACAGUGACCACAGUGAGCAGAUCAUGUGAUCAGUUUGGUCUGUGGGCUGCUCCUGUCUGUGCUGUGAUUGGUUAGCCUUGAAGAAGAGGAAGUUGAUUGAGUCUCUAAUAGCCUCAGAUCAUCAGACACAUAUGUUUAUAUAAGAAACAUCAG